GUUCUACUCCCUCCGUCUCAAAAUAUAAGCAAAAAUGGGUCAAAGAAAGUUGAAGUAUUUGGUCCAAAAUUAAGACCAAAUACAUCAACUUUCUUUGACCCAUUUUUGCUUAUAUUUUGAGACGGAGGGAGUACUGU
rfam:Cicer arietinum chromosome Ca1, whole genome shotgun sequence.